CACGGAGAACAGAACCUGGGUGGAAGGGGUUCCUCCGGGCCGCAGGCCUGCCGCGCACUGCACGGGGAAGGGCCUGCUGCCUCAGGACACAGGCGAGGGGGCCGUGCCGAUGGACUGGAGUCCACACCUUGGCUAGGGUCACUACGAAAUUCGCCAGCAUCCCAUUCCUCACACCCAAAGCAAAUCGACCUCUCCGCGGAAUUUGGCAAAGUCACAUCUGCUGGGUGUCCGCGACCUGCCUUGCGAAGAGCCUGCCGAGCAGACGGCGAUGUCUCCCCUAGACCCCACCCUGUGCGCCCACGCGACAGUCCCUUUCCCGGGAUCAUUUCGGGGACCGAGACGUGCGGGUCCCACGGCUUCCUUCCUCCGCCUGGGUCCUCAGAGCCCAGACGCCCCUUGUGGGCCCUGGGAGGGCCGUGCCAACGACCGGCCGCCCGCACUCGCCGGCGCAAAAGCCCUGACUCUCGGAUCCCGAGGCCUGCGUUCAACUGUCCACGCUUCCUCGCGAGUGUUUCCACCCUCCGCAAACACAAAUUCACUUAUUUAUGUCUUUUUAAUGCAGUAAAUGGGCAGCUAAAUGAAUUGCAAUUUGUAAUUUUUAUGGUUAAUUUGAAAUCUCGCUCUUGUUGGCUAAUCCUGUUAGUUGGUGGGAACACAAGGAGAACGUCGUGUUGCAGCACCAGUCACUCUAAUAGGCAUUUUAUGUUAAAUUACAACGACCGGCCAGAACAAAAGGACGAGUCGGACUUCCAGGCCCAGCGGCCCGGGAGAGGCAGCGCGACCAGCGUGAGGCCGGAACGCCACGACCCCAAGUCUGCCGGCUCCGCGCGCCCCCAGCCACGCCCGCCCGUCCCAGCAACCCAAUUCUGCACCCCGAUCUUGUUUGCGAGUGCCCUGGGUGCCCUCAAUCCGCGCUCUGCCGCGCCCCAGCCACUCGGGCCCCGGAAGCGUGUGCUUGCCCUGGGCGCGGGGCUUCGGGGUCUCCGAGGCCAAACGGCAGCGGCGACCAACGCCGACCCCUUUCUCCCUGCUCCCGCCUCUCCUUUUGCUUUCUUUUCUCCCUAUCGGCCUCUCCGCGGGCUACCCCGCGGAAAGCCAGGUCGGGUGCGAGGCGCCCCUUGUUCCCCCUCCGCCCCAGCCUCCUGUUCCCCAGGGUGCAGAGGCCCGCAGAGCCAGGCCGAGAGGGUUUGA
rnacentral:lncRNA from 1 species